CCUACGGGUGGCAGCAGUGAGGAAUAUUGGUCAAUGGACGAGAGUCUGAACCAGCCAAGCAGCGUGAAGGAUGACUGCCCUAUGAGUUGUAAACUUCUUUUAUAUGAGAAUAAAACAGGGUAUGCAUACCCUCUUGUAUGUACCAUAUGAAUAAGGAUCGGCUAACUCCGUGCCAGCAGCCGCGGUAAUACGGAGGAUCCGAGCGUUAUCCGGAUUUAUUGGGUUUAAAGGGAGCGUAGGUGGUUGGAUAAGUUAGUGGUGAAAGUGUGAGGCUCAACCGUAGAAUUGCAGUUGAUACUGGUCGGCUAGAGUACAGUUGAGGUAGGCGGAAUGCGUGGUGUAGCGGUGAAAUGCUUAGAUAUCACGAAGAACUCCGAUUGCGAAGGCAGCUCACCGGCCUGCAACUGACACUGAUGCUCGAAAGUGUGGGGAUCGAACAGGAUUAGAUACCCCGGUAGUC
rnacentral:rRNA from 1 species